rnacentral:rRNA from 1 species
GUGGAUUAGAUACCCUGGUAGUCCAUGCCGUAAACGAUGUCAACUAGCCGUUGGGGGAUUUGAUCCUUUAGUGGCGCAGCUAACGCGAUAAGUUGACCGCCUGGGGAGUACGGUCGCAAGACUAAAACUCAAAUGAAUUGACGGGGGCCCGCACAAGCGGUGGAGCAUGUGGUUUAAUUCGAUGCAACGCGAAGAACCUUACCUGGUCUUGACAUAGUGAGAAUCCUGCAGAGAUGCGGGAGUGCCUUCGGGAAUUCACAGACAGGUGCUGCACGGCCGUCGCCAGCU